CGAGUGAAAAGCAAAACAACAAUAAUGGGAAAGUCUUUCGGGGAUGAGUUCACUUUCGAAAAAAGACUAGAAGAAUCACAAGACAUUAUUGCUAAGUACCUCCUUCGGAUUCCCAUUGGGGAGUAGAUCAGCGCUCUUAACUUCAACCUGCAGAGCGGGGUUCCAUGCUCGAUCUUGUGCAUAUCAGCCUUUGAGCAGGGUUCCAUGCAUUGAUUUAGGCUUCCACACAUUCGAAGUUCUAGACACAGGCCAAUUAUGAAAGGUGCUCUUUAAAGUUGCUUUCAGAAUUAGCGCACAAAGUUACAUGGCAAGGGCCUCCUUUGUGCACACCACAUAGGAGACUUGGGGCAUCACACUAGUUAGUCUUCUGAACAAGGUGAAUAUAGAUGAUUCGAUGGGCCUGGUAGCUUUACAGGGGGUCGCUGCAUUUAGAACCCACUGUAACCCGCAGAUAACUGGAGUUGAAACACUUUUAUAAGUAACAAAAUGGUCAAUCGUAC